GACGAACGCUGGCGGCGUGCCUAAUACAUGCAAGUCGAGCGGACGGAUGGGAGCUUGCUCCCAGACCGUCAGCGGCGGACGGGUGAGUAACACGUGGGCAACCUGCCUGUAAGACUGGGAUAACUCCGGGAAACCGGGGCUAAUACCGGAUAACUCUUUCCCUCACAUGAGGGAAAGCUGAAAGAUGGCAUCUCGCUAUCACUUACAGAUGGGCCCGCGGCGCAUUAGCUAGUUGGUGAGGUAACGGCUCACCAAGGCGACGAUGCGUAGCCGACAUGAGAGGGUGAUCGGCCACACUGGGACUGAAACACGGCCCAGACUCCUACGGGAGGCAGCAGUAGGGAAUCUUCCGCAAUGGACGAAAGUCUGACGGAGCAACGCCGCGUGAGUGAUGAAGGUUUUCGGAUCGUAAAACUCUGUUGUCAGGGAAGAACAAGUACCGGAGUAACUGCCGGUACCUUGACGGUACCUGACCAGAAAGCCACGGCUAACUACGUG
rnacentral:rRNA from 1 species